rnacentral:rRNA from 1 species
AUGAACGCUGGCGGCGCGCCUAAUACAUGCAAGUCGAGCGAGAAGACGUAGCAAUACGUUUGUAAAGCGGCGAACGGGUGAGGAAUACAUGGGUAACCUACCCUAGAGUGGGGAAUAACUAGCCGAAAGGUUAGCUAAUACCGCGUACGCUCCUUGGACUUCGGUUCAGGGAGGAAAGCGAUGCCGAGGGUAUCGCGCUCUUGGAUGGGCUCAUGUCCUAUCAGCUUGNGGUGAGGUAACGGCUCACCAAGGCUUCGACGGGUAGCUGGUCUGAGAGAACGAUCAGCCACACUGGCACUGCGACACGGGCCAGACUCCUACGGGAGCAGCAGUAAGGAAUAUUGCGCAAGUGGGCGAAAGCCUGACGCAGCGACGCCGCGGUGGGGGA